rnacentral:rRNA from 1 species
AGAAUCAACGCUGGCGGCGUGCCUAACACAUGCAAGUCGAACGAGAAAGUGGAGCAAUCCACGAGUAAAGUGGCGCACGGGUGAGUAACACGUGACUAACCUACCCUUGAGUGGGGAAUAACUGAGGGAAACCUUAGCUAAUACCGCAUAACACCUACGGGUCAAAGGAGCAAUUCGCUUUUGGGAGGGGGUCGCGGCAGAUUAGCUAGUUGGCGGGGUAAUGGCCCACCAAGGCGAUGAUCUGUA